rnacentral:rRNA from 1 species
GUGUCCUCUUCUUGGGAUAAAACAGAACCCAAGGUGUUCAACCAGAAUAAUAAUAGCAGAUUUGCUCCACAAAGUGCUGAAUUCAUGGCAAGGAGGGAGUUCGAAGCAUCGGCAUACCUUCGGAAUGACCACCUGGAGGUCGAAUGCGUCGUCAAUAUCAUGAAAGAAGCGCAGGUGUUUGAAAUCAAAUCAUCCCCCAAAAUCAAGAUGCCCCCAUCCGACAUCACUGCACAGCUCAGCAAGUUGCUGGAAGCAAACGAGAUUCCAACAGAUGUCACAUUCGGUGUUGGGGGAGUGGUUUUUGCAGCACACAAGCUUGUCCUUGCCGUGUGGUCACCAGUGUUCAAUGCAGAGUUCUAUGGGCCGAUGAGGAAGACAGAAACACCACUCAUAUCCAUCCAAGACAUGCAACCAAAUGUCUUCAAGGCCCUGCUCCAUUUCAUCUACACGGAUUCAUUG